UAUUUGUGACGUUCCGCCCCUUAUAGAAUCGAUUAUUGAUGGGAAGAUAUUAUUUAACUAUCCAAAAUAUUAUUUAAUUAUUUUCAGAAUUAUUUUCUUUCAAUGUUUAUUCAAAUAGAACUUAAACCCAUCUCAGAAUUUUUAAAUGCUUGAUGACGUCACAUUUAAAACGUGGCAACAUUGGUUUCCCCACUUUGACAGCCAAUGCUUAGUAGAGGGGUACGAAGGAUUCAGCUGUGAACGUGAGCCUUGGAUUGCCAUUGUUUCUCGAGUGUUCGGUCUGAAUCGUAGUGUGCGGGGUCAUUAGACUCAAUUAUUCACCUCUAAUUCUCAGUUCCAAAUUGAUUAAAUAUUACAAUAAAAGUAUAGUGAAGUUAUCCAGCAGCAGUGGAUUUGAAGAAUUUUAGAGCAUACUAUAUCCAAUGAGUUCUACCCCGCACCUACCAUGAAAUCUUAAAGCCACCCUACAACAACACCAAGGCCAGACCACACAGAGAGAAACAAUCAAUAGGCGACCAGCCUGGAUUAUUUCCACAUUUUCUUUUUUUUGAGUACCUCCAGCUGCUUUCCAACAGUUUUGAGUACCUUCAGCUGCUUUCUACCAGUCUUCCUCUCCUGUACCUCCAGCAGGACAGCUGCUAGCGAGAGUUAGCACCCUUGGGUGCCCAUUACAUCAACUUCAAGAUUAGGAAAGAGUGGUUUGUUUGGGAACAUUUACUGUGCUCUUAUUAAAGACAGACUGGUUUUGUGAUAUUUAGUACAUUUUUUUUUUAGUUCAAUUGCACACACAUUUUUCCUGCUUUAUAUUUUUUAUAGGUUUUUUUUCUUUACAACAUAAUAUUUAAUUGAUAGCGUUCCCCAACACUCUGCAAUCUAUAAAGGUAUAAAUUUCUGAGCUCAGAUAUUUUCCCUGAUAAUAGUAGUCGGUACUCUUAUCUUGAUUAUUUUUAGGCUGUGUUCCACUUUUGUAUAAUUAUUUAAACUCAUUCCAUUAUUUUAGUAUAUGUUUAAUUAAAUUUUUAAAAAUUAACUUCACAUAUUAGUCAAAAUUGUAAUUAUUAACUUUAUUUAACUUGAACUUAUUAACUUUACUUAACUUUAACUUAUUAACUUUAUUUAACUUUAACUUUAAUUUAUUAAAUUCAUAUGAACUUCUGGAUUCUAAUCCCUCAGAUUAGUUUUUGGUUUCACUUGUUAUUAUUACUAUUAUAAACCACGAGUUAGGAAAAGGAUCUGUGUAUCCACUCGUAGGUUUAUUUAUUCAAUAAGGCUUGUGCCUGUCCCACUCACAGUGAGGUAUUUAUAUGUUAUAUAUAGUAUCAGGUAGUAUUUAAUUAAGGUGUACGUAUUAUAAACGUACAAUUAUUAUUUGGUGAGGGUUCUACUAACCUAGUUGUAAGUUGUACUUCCUGUAUUAGAGGUACCCGUAGUCAGUUUUUCUAACCUUAUAAAGAGUAUUCUUAGAUCAUAGUUGUAUGAUGAUUUUGUAAUUGACUUUCACUAGUAUCACUUUUUCCUGUCAUGUUAGAGUUACACACUAGUUACUUGUCCUAACUCAGAGAUUGUUAAAAAGAUCUAGUAGUUACAUUCAAUAAAUAUACAUUUAUUGUGA
rnacentral:lncRNA from 1 species